UACGUAGGGCGCAAGCGUUGUCCGGAAUUAUUGGGCGUAAAGAGCUCGUAGGCGGCUUGUCACGUCGGGUGUGAAAGCCCGGGGCUUAACCCCGGGUCUGCAUUCGAUACGGGCAGGCUAGAGUGUGGUAGGGGAGAUCGGAAUUCCUGGUGUAGCGGUGAAAUGCGCAGAUAUCAGGAGGAACACCGGUGGCGAAGGCGGGUCUCUGGGCCGUUACUGACGCUGAGGAGCGAAAGCGUGGGGAGCGAACAGG
rnacentral:rRNA from 1 species